rnacentral:rRNA from 1 species
UUUAUCGGAGAGUUUGAUCCUGGCUCAGGACGAACGCUGGCGGCGUGCCUAAUACAUGCAAGUCGAGCGGACAGAUGGGAGCUUGCUCCCUGAUGUUAGCGGCGGACGGGUGAGUAACACGUGGGUAACCUGCCUGUAAGACUGGGAUAACU